rnacentral:snRNA from 1 species
CUCAGAACUGGUACGGAC